GGGCUAUUAGCUCAGUGGUAGAGCGCGCCCCUGAUAUGGCGGAUGUCAGCGGUUCGAGUCCGCUUAUCUCCA
rnacentral:tRNA from 1 species